AUUGAACGCUGGCGGCAGGCCUAACACAUGCAAGUCGAGCGGAUGAAGGGAACUUGCUCCUGGAUUCAGCGGCGGACGGGUGAGUAAUGCCUAGGAAUCUGCCUGGUAGUGGGGGAUAACGUCCGGAAACGGGCGCUAAUACCGCAUACGUCCUGAGGGAGAAAGUGGGGGAUCUUCGGACCUCACGCUAUCGGAUGAGCCUAGGUCGGAUUAGCUAGUUGGUGGGGUAAAGGCCUACCAAGGCGACGAUCCGUAACUGGUCUGAGAGGAUGAUCAGUCACACUGGAACUGAGACACGGUCCAGACUCCUACGGGAGGCAGCAGUGGGGAAUAUUGGACAAUGGGCGAAAGCCUGAUCCAGCCAUGCCGCGUGUGUGUAGAAGGUCUUCGGAUUGUAAAGCACUUUAAGUUGGGAGGAAGGGCAGUAAGUUAAUACCUUGCUGUUUUGACGUUACUAACAGAAUAAGCACCGGCUAACUUCGUG
rnacentral:rRNA from 1 species